ACUAUACGCUUCUGUGUGACUUUGCUAUGUGCUGAGGAUGACCAAAAUGGAAACACAGGUCUUCAAGGAGUUUUGUUUAGUAGAAUGAACAUGAUUUAGGGAGUCAGAUUUUCCCCAAUACCUAAUCUGUAAAAUGGGGACAAUAAUACAUUCCCCAUAAAGUUGUUGUGAGGGUUUUUAUUAUGUAGACUGCCUAAUUUAAAUACAUGGUAAUUUCCUCAAAAGACUUUAUAACGUCUUAAUGAAUACACAACUGAUAGAUAAGAAAUGAUUGUAACAGCUUGAUAUUGGGUGUUAAGUGAGAUUUUUCGCCUGUAAUUGACUUCUAAAGCUCAGAGAAAGAGAACAAAGGUUGCUAAGCACCCUGCCUCUAGGCUUGCGGAACCAACUGCUGGGAGGCAGCUGGGUUUGCAGAGAGGCCGGUGGUCAGCAGCACCUGUGAGGCUAUCAGUCCCUUCUUGGAACGGUUCUUCAAAAUUUACAGUAUGGAAAGCCCAGCGGUGAUGUUCAAGCCUCUACUGAGAAAACAGCAAGGGCUUUGGAUCAGGACAGACCUGGUAAAACUUCCAGAUCUGCCCCUUAUGGGCAUGUGACUUUGGGCAAGUCACUUAAUGAGCUUAAGUUUCCUUAUAUGUAAAAGUAAGUAGUAAUACCUUACUGAGUGUUACACAAAUUAAAUAAAGACUGAAUGAACCACUCUGCCA
rnacentral:lncRNA from 1 species